GGCGCACGCCACAUGGCUGAUUACCAAGCCAAGAUGAAAGUGGUGGUGGCCGCAUCAAAGGAGAAGGUGCAACAAGACGAACCGAAAGCUGCUAUCUCAGAUGUGAAAUGUGACAACCCAAAAGAGGAGGGCAAUGUGCAGCAAACCAAAAGUUGUUGCCUCAGAUGUGAAAUGUGAUGACCUAGAGCAGGAGGAAGAUUCCAAUAAAAAUGGGGAACU